GAAAUGCGAAAAGUAGUGUGAAUUGCAGAAUUCAGUGAAUCAUCGAAUCUUUGAACGCACAUUGCGCCCCUUGGUAUUCCAUGGGGCAUGCCUGUUCGAGCGUCAUUUUGUACAAUCAAGCACUGCUUGGUGUUGGGCGUUUGUCUCGCAAGGGACUCGCCUCAAAGUCAUUGGCGGCCAACGCAGUCGUGGCAGAGCGCAGCACAAUCUUGCGUCUCUCCCUUCAGUGUCGGCGUCCAUCAAGCCUACCAUUUUCACGCUUGACCUCGGAUCAGGUAGGGAUACCCGCUGAACUUAA
rnacentral:misc_RNA from 1 species